rnacentral:rRNA from 1 species
GUGGGGAAUUUUGGACAAUGGGCGAAAGCCUGAUCCAGCCAUGCCGCGUGCAGGAUGAAGGCCUUCGGGUUGUAAACUGCUUUUGUACGGAACGAAAAGACUCCUUCUAAUAAAGGGGGUCCAUGACGGUACCGUAAGAAUAAGCACCGGCUAACUACGUGCCAGCAGCCGCGGUAAUACGUAGGGUGCAAGCGUUAAUCGGAAUUACUGGGCGUAAAGCGUGCGAAGGCGGUUAUAUAAGACAGAUGUGAAAUCCCCGGGCUCAACCUGGGAACUGCAUUUGUGACUGUAUAGCUAGAGUACGGUAGAGGGGGAUGGAAUUCCGCGUGUAGCAGUGAAAUGCGUAGAUAUGCGGAGGAACACCGAUGGCGAAGGCAAUCCCCUGGACCUGUACUGACGCUCAUGCACGAAAGCGUGGGGAGCAAACAGGAUUAGAAACCCCUGUAGUCC